GGUGGGGAUGACGUCAAGUCCUCAUGGCCCUUAUGGUAGGGCUUCACACGUCAUACAAUGGUCGGUACAGAGGGUUGCCAACCCGCGAGGGGGAGCUAAUCCCACAAAGCCGAUCGUAGUCCGGAUCGCAGUCUGCAACUCGACUGCGUGAAGUCGGAAUCGCUAGUAAUCGUGGAUCAGCAUAUCACGGUGAAUACGUUCCCGGGUCUU
rnacentral:rRNA from 1 species